rnacentral:lncRNA from 1 species
UAGCAACUAGGGAGAGGAACAUGGAAGACGCUAACAGUUCUCUCAUGUCUUUCCAGAGUCUUUUUCUUCAGCAAUCUGAAAAGAGGUUGGUCCUUUCCACAUUCCUUCUUGAAACCAGAAGUCAGAAAUAACUGUAAUCUCUCAAUACCUGAAGAAGGUGUGUGAUUCUGCAAUAUCAUCUCAGUGUGUAGAAAAAGAGGUCCAAGGACACUGCCAAGUGGAAGUUGGUUGGAAUUUCGGUGGAGUCAGGCCCAGAAAAGGAGUUCACUUGGCAAAGAUACUGGAGUGGUAUGCAAUUUCCAUCCCCAUCUCAUUUGACAGUUAUGGAAAGUGAGGCAAACAGCUCAGAUUUCCUGGGAUCAUACAACUAAGUCUUCAGCUUGAAUCUUUGGCUUGGAGCUUUGGCUGGUGAUUUGCCUCUUGGAGGUGGCCUUGGAUUUUGGGA